GCCUACUCAACCUGCAAGGAAGAGAUGUCAAGUCAUGUUGAAUCAUAACUUCUGGUUGCAGCUUUCUUUGUUUUGUUUGUUUGUGUGUGUGUGUGUGUAUUUACUUAAAUGGAGCUUUUUGUUUCUAAUCCAAAUAUUUAUUUUUUCUCUGCAGAUGGUGGUAUGGUACCUAUUUCAGAUUGUUUCAGCAGUGAGCUGCAUCCAUAAAGCUGGAAUCCUUCAUAGAGAUAUAAAGACAUUAAAUAUUUUUCUGACCAAGGCAAACCUGAUAAAACUUGGAGAUUAUGGCCUA
rnacentral:sRNA from 1 species